AUUGAACGCUGGCGGAAUGCUUUACACAUGCAAGUCGAACGGCAGCACGGACUUCGGUCUGGUGGCGAGUGGCGAACGGGUGAGUAAUGUAUCGGAACGUGCCCAGUCGUGGGGGAUAACGUAGUGAAAAUUACGCUAAUACCGCAUACGAUCUAUGGAAGAAAGCGGGGGAUCGCAAGACCUCGCGCGAUUGGAGCGGCCGAUAUCAGAUUAGGUAGUAGGUGGGGUAAAGGCCCACCAAGCCAACGAUCUGUAGCUGGUCUGAGAGGACGACCAGCCACAAGGGAACUGAGACACGGUCCGGACUCCUACGGGAGGCAGCAGUGGGGAAUUUUGGACAAUGGGCGAAAGCCUGAUCCAGCCAUUCCGCGUGCAGGAUGAAGGCCCUCGGGUUGUAAACUGCUUUUGUACAGAACGAAAAGGUUUCUACUAAUACUAGGAGCUCAUGACGGUACUGUAAGAAUAAGCACCGGCUAACUACGUGCCAGCCGCCGCGGUAA
rnacentral:rRNA from 1 species